UACGGGGGGAGCAAGCGUUGUUCGGAUUUACUGGGCGUAAAGGGCGCGUAGGCGGUCAGCACAAGUCAGUUGUGAAAUCCCCGGGCUCAACCUGGGAAUUGCAUUCGAUACUGGAUAGCUAGAGUUCGGCAGAGGGAAGUGGAAUUUCGGGUGUAGCGGUGAAAUGCGUAGAUAUCCGAAGGAACAUCAGUGGCGAAAGCGACUUCCUGGACCAGAACUGACGAUCAGGCACGAAAGCGUGGGGAGCAAACAGG
rnacentral:rRNA from 1 species